rnacentral:rRNA from 1 species
AGCGAACGCUGGCGGCAGGCCUAACACAUGCAAGUCGAACGAACUCUUCGGAGUUAGUGGCGGACGGGUGAGUAACACGUGGGAACGUGCCUUUAGGUUCGGAAUAACUCAGGGAAACUUGUGCUAAUACCGAAUGUGCCCUUCGGGGGAAAGAUUUAUCGCCUUUAGAGCGGCCCGCGUCUGAUUAGCUAGUUGGUGAGGUAAAGGCUCAACAAGGCGACGAUCAGUAGCUGGUCUGAGAGGAUGAUCAGCCAAAUUGGGACUGAGACACGGCCCAACAUCCUACGGGAGGCAGCAGUGGGGAAUCUUGCGCAAUGGGCGAAAGCCUGACGCAGCCAUGCCGCGUGAAUGAUGAAGGUCUUAGGAUUGUAAAAUUCUUUCACCGGGGACGAUAAUGACGGUACCCGGAGAAGAAGCCCCGGCUAACUUCGUGCCAGCCGCCGCAGUAACAC